rnacentral:lncRNA from 1 species
UAUUUCCCAAUCUUUUGAAUUGUCAACUAUAUAGAAGAACAAAAGAAAUGUAAAGGAGAUGAAAAAGCGGAACAAAAAUAAAAGAAGUAAUGUGUAAAUACUGAUGCAUUUGAAAAGAAAAGAGAAAAAAGGAAAAAUAAAAUAAUGAAUGAAAUGGAAAUGAUGUUAAUAGAAAAAAAUUAAAAAUGGGUUCAAAAUCAAAAGUAAUAGAAAGAGAAGACAAAAAAAUAAUAAUAAAAAAAAAUACAAUUUGUUGCUAAUUUUAGCAAGGCGGUAGCUAGGGAUGUCAAUCUAGCCUGAAAUCCGUGGGCUGUCCCGAUUAACC